GGUUUCCUUCUAUCCCACAUGGAGCCAUGAACAGAGGAUUUGAGUGAUGUCAUCAGUGUAGUGUCUGAUACAAAUGGAAGAGAAUAGAUAGCCUGUUAGUGUUCGAGGCAUUGUUAUUUCAUUCAUAAAAUCAAUUGGAAGUUGUCUAUCUCUUCUUAAACGUUGCCUUGCUACAAUAGCAAGGCAGUUUCUAGGAAGUUGGCCCAGAGAAGUUGGUUGAUAAAAAUAAAAUGCAUUACAUAUUGCUUUCUAAUAACUAUAUGAUAUAAUGGAAAUAAAAUAUUCUCUUGAUAUUGGACACAAAAUUAUGAAACAUUUAUGAAUGUGAUUUUGAAAUAUGUGCUCUGAAAUAGAAGGGAAGUAUGCAGGAGACAUUCUAUCAGGUUUCUGCUGAAUGCUAAAAUACUGUUUCAAACUACCAUUCUUUUUUGGAAAGAGAGAGUAAUUUUGAGGUGCUGGGAAGCCUUUUCUCAAGCAGUCUGUGAACUCCGUGCAGCCCCAGUCAUGCAUCAGAAAAGGAUUUUGGUGGUAUACGACCAAGAUGAGCACCUCAUAAAAUUGUCUUGAAGAGGAAAUAGGGAGAUAUCAAACAGGGGCUCUGAUCAUUCUGCAUAUCAAGACUCACUCUAUAGGAUUAGCAGUGCAAACAGGAAUUGAUUAACAUUUCACUGAAGCAGAAGUAGACAUCUUAAAAGUAUAUUCAUGUGUAUUUGGAGAUCAAGUAGCUUGCAUUUUGAUGGUCAUCCUGCCUCAAAGUAGACUCUUAGGGCCGUGUGUGUGUGUGUGUGUGUGUGUGUGUGUGUGUGUGUUCAGAUGCAAGUGCAGAAGGACUUCUGCGGUCACUUGGAAUCCCUGUUUAAUAACUGAAUAAUCAUGGAAGGUUUGGUACAUGUCUAUAAGAUAUCUUGAUCAUUGUGAUUGCUUUAUCAGCCCUACCUUCAUGUGACUCUGAUUCCUUUCCUCAUCGCUAACAUGUCUUCCCUUUUGUUUCCCUCCGUGUUUCCUUCAUUUUCAUAUUUUACGAAUUUAUUUUUAUUUUAGGUUUCUGAUGCAAGAUAAAUCAUGUCAUAGUUAACUUUCUGUUUGCCUUGCUUCUCUCAACAUUAUUGUCUCAGGUUCCUUUCGUUUUCUUGCAAAUGACACGCUUUCAUUCUUUAAGGCAGAAUAAUAUUCCACCGUGUGUAUAUACAGCAUUGCAUUUAUACAGUCACGUGUUUUUCUUCGUAAAGAGAAAAGGUUUUACUGGAACAUUGGCGGGAAGAUAGAAAAGGAAGCCAGCUUAGGUUGUUGGAGCCAAGUCAUCUGUCGCCCUCCGUGGAGCUGAGGAAACAUGGAUAAAGGCCACUCUGAGGUCAGUCCCUGCACACAGCAGCCGAGGAUCAGGAGGAAGGCAGAUCAAUACUUGAGAGCAAGCCUGGCCUCCCAAUCCGUGCUGAGUGUUUUCCUUGGUAGACAAAUAGGAAGGCACAGCAGCGAUGUGCACCUGGCCGAGUGGUUGUGGAUGGUGACCCCAUCAACAGCCCCAGAGUGGAGAUGGCCUUGGCCAAGACACCAAGGAAGGCACGCCCCUGCGUGCCCUGAGGGUGAAGAGCAAUCCCAGAAAACAGGUUAAAUCAACAAAACCUGCCCCUGUGAGAGUAUUAAAGUGGAAGCGUGCUUUCCUUCC